rnacentral:hammerhead_ribozyme from 1 species
AUCUAGCUGACGAGUCUCAAAAACAGGAUGAAACACGCAUCCUGGAU